rnacentral:lncRNA from 1 species
UCAUAGAUUACAAUCUGAAGUGCUUAAACUGUCUUAAUGUCCGAUCAAAUUAAUAGAAUGAGUAAUAAUAAUAGUGUGGAUUUUGGGAAAAUGUCGAUAAAAGUCGUAUUUACAGGAACCUAGACCCAAAAUGAAAAAUUAAGGCAAAAUCAAAACCCGAUAUUUGAGCAAAAUUAGGGCAAAAUUGAAACCCAUUAUUAGAGAAAAAUUAGGGCAAAAUAAAAUCCUAGUAGCUCAAACAGCUUCUGUGACAAAACUCAGAGUCCUUGACAUGGAUUGUUUCUUUUACCUUCGAGGUAUCAUAUGGAGAACUCUCUCUCUCUAUUUCCACACAUUCGUCUCUUCUUGACGUUGUUUCCUCUUCU